AUGCUCACUGCAGCAGCAUGUAUACUAAAAUUGGAAACAUACAGAGAAGAUUAGCAUGGCCCCUGCAAAAAGAUGACAUGCAAAUUCGUGAAGAGUUCCAUAAUUUU
ensembl:snRNA U6 U6 spliceosomal RNA